UACAGAGGUGGCAAGCGUUGUUCGGAAUUACUGGGCGUAAAGGGCGCGUAGGCGGCCUCCUAAGUCAGACGUGAAAUCCCCCGGCUUAACCUGGGAACUGCGUCUGAUACUGGGAGGCUAGAGUGCGGGAGAGGGAUGCGGAAUUCCAGGUGUAGCGGUGAAAUGCGUAGAUAUCUGGAGGAACACCGGUGGCGAAGGCGGCAUCCUGGACCGACACUGACGCUGAGGCGCGAAAGCGUGGGGAGCAAACAGG
rnacentral:rRNA from 1 species